AAUAUUGCACAAUGGAGGAAACUCUGAUGCAGCGACGCCGCGUGAGUGAAGAAGGNCUNNGGAUCNUNAAACUCUGUCCUUGGNNNNNAUAAUGACGGUNGCCAAGGAGGAAGCACCGGCUAACUACGUGCCAGCAGCCGCGGUAAUACGUAGGGGGCGAGCGAUGUGCGGAUUUACUGGGCGUAAAGGGUGAGUAGGCGGUUGCAUAAGUCAGAUGUAAAAGGCUAAGGCUUAACCAUAGUAUGCAUUUGAAACUGUGUGACUUGAGUACAGGAGAGGUAAGCGGAAUUCCUAGUGUAGCGGUGAAAUGCGUAGAUAUUAGGAGGAACACCAGUGGCGAAGGCGGCUUACUGGACUGUAACUGACGCUGAGUCACGAAAGCGUGGGUAGCAAAC
rnacentral:rRNA from 1 species